rnacentral:misc_RNA from 1 species
GAUGAAGAACGUAGCGAAAUGCGAUAAGUAAUGUGAAUUGCAGAAUUCAGUGAAUCAUCGAAUCUUUGAACGCACCUUGCGCCCCUUGGUUAUUCCAAAGGGCAUGCCUGUUUGAGUAUCAUGAACACCUCAACUCUUGUGGUUUCCCACAAUGAGCUUGGACUGUGGAGGUUUUGUUGGCCCUGUGGUCAGCUCCUCUCAAAUGGAUCAGCUUACCGGUGUUUGGUGGCAUUACGGGUGUGAUAACUAUCUACGCUCGUGGUCGUAUCCAAAUAGCCUCCAGUGAUGGAGGUUCGCUGGAGCUUAUAAAUGUCUCUCCCCAGUGAAGACAGCCUUUGAACGUUCGAUCUCAAAUCAGGUAGGACUACCCGCUGAACUUAAGCAUAUCAAUAAGCGGAGGA